GUACACCAAAGUUAUACAAAACCGGUGUGAUUUUUUUUUUCUUCCGUUCUGUUCGCGAGGAAACGGGUUUUAGGUGACUUGCUUUUUAAGUGUUUCAGUCUCAACGUUGGGACUGAGUCUCAUUGCUUUUCCCACUGUUAUACUUUUCGAAAAUCGUCAGAGCCUGAGCCAGAUGCUAACCAUAGUAAAAGCCUAGGAUCCGCUCCCAGGCUAAGUUGCGGUUCAGCUGGGACACAGUCGUACUCGUCACAAUUAGGAGUUAUGAAAUGUUGCUGCUCAGAGCUCUGGGGGGUAAGCCUGCAGGCAUGCAUUUCAUUUCUUUACUCUCUUGGAGAAGUGACUGAAUCAAACAUUGAGUCCUUCAGGAUCUGAGUACUGUGCUGAGAGGGUCACGGGAACUCAAGAGCAGCAGACAGAGCAAUAAUGAUGCCAGAUGGCACUAUUUGAAAGGCUCAACGUCCCUUCUGCCCGCGUCGGAUGGAAGAAUAGCAGAGGCCACAGGAGCAGCCACUUCUUUCCAGAAGGGGACCAGGGUAACUCUGGGAAACUCUCCAUGUGAACUGGCUGCUUUUGGAAGCCGCACAACCAAACCUAUUUAUCUUAGUGCAAACAAACGGGAUCGAUGUUUGAUGGCUUCGGUGUGCAGAAACAAGUAUUUGACCUUCCUGUCCCGUCUGGGCUUCCUAACCAGGCAUAACUGGAGCCCAGUGGUGGCUGGGUGGGUAGGUCCUGAGGUGGUCUAGGCCAUGCUGAGCGAACUGUUUACCCUGUCCCUAUUCUAACCUGGAUCACCAUUCAGCAGACUCACUGCCUCUCCUGGCACAGCCUCUGGCCUGGUGGGGUCAGGGAGGGGAUGAGAAGAGACAGAGCAUGAGGAAGAAUGCGACAAAGAAGCUGAGAACGAGACACUUCAUAAUAGGAGGGAAUUGUUCAUGCUCAGAGCGAUUUCAUCAAACCGAACAAUUCUCUCUAAAUAGCAAGCUCGAGGAUAUACAUACAAAUAGCUCUCCCAUAAAAUCAGCUCUAAGUGACUGCAGAAAAUUGUGCCUCUCAUAAAGUCUCAAUUUGUCUUAUUUAUGGGCAAAUUCCCAUCCCAUUAGAGGACCAUGAGUUAUAGGUGUUCACCACAUCGUGCUCCCAUACAAGUCUCAGUAAAGAUCUUUUCUGAAUUAAUCACAUCAUUCUUUGGAAGCACUCCAAGCGCACCUUUCACCUCUAAAAUAAUGAACUCAAAGCUGCUUCCAGAGAGGGAUCCUUUCAGCUGCUGAGCCAAAUGGUUCUCUUGGGGCAUAUGCAACAUUUUGUUCGUUCUUUAUAAGAAAUCUGAAGCAUACGUUCAUCUCAUGCCAGAGCUAUAAAGGGCUUAUCCCAGAGUCACGGGACUGUCCAGGGUCCUAUAAGGCCUCAACAGCUAAUUCUGGACACUGAGAAUCAACGUGUCCAAAAUAGAUUCACACUCAUUCCUUUUGUAGCUCCUUAAAUUCAUUUAAAAAUCACCCAGUUUUUGUCAAAGGGCCAAGGCAUCUGGCAGGAUCACGGGUCACUCCUAAAGACAGACAGGGUAGACCAACCUGUAACAGUGGACAAAUGCAUCAUAGGAAAUGGACCACUUCAGUAUGGCAAAUUUGGUACAGUUUUUAAAAGCAAGUUUUAGGUAUACACGAAAUAAAUGCCCCCAUCUCAAAUUAUAUGAGCUAUUACCUCUAAGAAGCAGUAGCAUGGGGUGAGAGGGGGAAUUUGGGACUUUCAUUUUUUUACUUAAAAUGUAUAUUUCUAGAGUAAUUUUAUAUCAAAUACACAGUAGUGAAUGAAUGUCCCCCCCAGAGUCACAGCUGAAUGGGCAGUCUUUUAAUAUGUGGUGCUGAGAAUAACUGUCAUCCAGAAAAAAUUACCCUUGACCUGUCUCACCCCCGGUGGAUGAAGCUGAACAUUGAAAGUAACAAUGCUUCUGGAUAGCAAGGAUAACACUGGGCUCGUGCCUGCACAAAUGCUUAUCUCGGUUAAGCUCCAAAUGGUUUUAAAAACUUUUCUUAUAUUUCACUCUCAGAACGAAAGGGUUGAAAAGUGGCCGAUACAUUAUGGGGUUAGGGAGGAACCUGGUGCUAGGGAAGUCCCCAGGAACCCACAAGGAUGUCCCCAGCUAAGACUCCUAGCAAUGGUGGAGAGGGUGCCUGAACUGUAGUCAGAUUGGGGACUACCCUAACUGUCAUCAUAGAACCUUCAUCCAGUGACUGAUGGAAGCAGAUGCAGAGACCCACAGCCAAGCACUGGGCCAAGCUCCUGGAGUUCAGUUGAAGAGAGGGAGGAGGGAUUAUAGGAACAAGGUGGGGGGUCAAGACCUUGAUGGGGAAACCCACAGAGACAGCUGACCGGAGCUAGUGGGAAGUCACGGACGGACUCAGGACUGACAGCUGGGGAGCCUGCAUGGGACCAAACUAGGCCCCCUGAAUGUGGGUGACAGUUGUGUGGGUUGAUCUGUUUGUGGGGCCCCUGGCAAUGGGACCAGGACCUAUCCUGGGUACAUGAACUGGCUUUUUAGAGCCCAUGCCCUGUGGUGGGAUGCCUUAUUCUGCUUUGAUGCGGGCGGGAGGGGCUUGGUCCGGCCCCAACUUGGUAUGCCAGCCUGUGUGGACUACCUAAGGGAGGCCU